UGAUGCAGCGACGCCGCGUGAGGGAUGACGGCCUUCGGGUUGUAAACCUCUUUCAGCAGGGAAGAAGCGAAAGUGACGGUACCUGCAGAAGAAGCGCCGGCUAACUACGUGCCAGCAGCCGCGGUAAUACGUAGGGCGCAAGCGUUGUCCGGAAUUAUUGGGCGUAAAGAGCUCGUAGGCGGUCUGUCGCGUCGGAUGUGAAAGCCCGGGGCUUAACCCCGGGUCUGCAUUCGAUACGGGCAGACUAGAGUGUGGUAGGGGAGAUCGGAAUUCCUGGUGUAGCGGUGAAAUGCGCAGAUAUCAGGAGGAACACCGGUGGCGAAGGCGGAUCUCUGGGCCAUUACUGACGCUGAGGAGCGAAAGCGUGGGGAGCGAACAGGAUUAGAUACCCUGGUAGUCCACGCCGUAAACGGUGGGAACUAGGUGUUGGCGACAUUCCACGUCGUCGGUGCCGCAGCUAACGCAUUAAGUUCCCCGCCUGGGGAGUACGGCCGCAAGGCUAAAACUCAAAGGAAUUGACGGGGGCCCGCACAAGCAGCGGAGCAUGUGGCUUAAUUCGACGCAACGCGAAGAACCUUACCAAGGCUUGACAUCGCCCGGAAAGCCGUAGAGAUACGGCCCCCCUUGUGGUCGGGUGACAGGUGGUGCAUGGCUGUCGUCAGCUCGUGUCGUGAGAUGUUGGGUUAAGUCCCGCAACGAGCGCAACCCUUGUUCUGUGUUGCCAGCAUGCCCUUCGGGGUGAUGGGGACUCACAGGAGACUGCCGGGGUCAACUCGGAGGAAGGUGGGGACGACGUCAAGUCAUCAUGCCCCUUAUGUCUUGGGCUGCACACGUGCUACAAUGGCAGGUACAAUGAGCUGCGAUACCGCAAGGUGGAGCGAAUCUCAAAAAGCCUGUCUCAGUUCGGAUUGGGGUCUGCAACUCGACCCCAUGAAGUCGGAGUUGCUAGUAAUCGCAGAUCAGCAUUGCUGCGGUGAAUACGUUCCCGGGCCUUGUACACACCGCCCGUCACGUCACGAAAGUCGGUAACACCCGAAGCCGGUGGCCCAACCCCCUUGUGGGGAGGGAGCUGUCGAAGGUGGGACUG
rnacentral:rRNA from 1 species